rnacentral:rRNA from 1 species
AUUCCGGUUGAUCCUGCCGGAGGCCAUUGCUAUCGGAGUCCGAUUUAGCCAUGCUAGUCGUGCGAGUUCAGACUCGCGGCACCGAGCUCAGUAACACGUGGCCAAACUACCCUACAGAGACGGAUACCCUCGGGAAACUGAGGUUAACCCGUCAUACCGAUCUCAGGCUUGAAUCGCAGAGAUCACAAAAUGCCCCGGCGCUGUAGGAUGUGGCUGCGGUUGAUUAGGUAGACGGUGGGGUAACGGCCCACCGUGCCCAUAAUCAGUACAGGUUGUGAGAGCAAGAACCUGGAGACGGAAUCUGAGACAAGAUUCCGGGCCCUACGGGGCGCAGCAGGCGCGAAACCUUUACACUGCACGCACGUGCGAUAAGGGGACUCCGAGUGCGAGGGCAUAUCGUCCUCGCUUUCGUGUACCGUAGGGUGGUACACCAACAAGGGCUGGGCAAGACCGGUGCCAGCCGCCGCGGUAAUACCGGCAGCCCGAGUGAUGGCCGAUCUUAUUGGGCCUAAAGCGUCCGUAGCU